GAGGACUCCUCAAUCUCAGACAUGUUGGCAAGAGAAGCACACUGAAAUGUUGCUUAGAAAUACGUUAGAAAAGCCUACUAUAUGAAGAGGUAGUGUUAAAAAAGUGAGAAACAGGUGACGGGACCAGCGUAGUUGAGGUCGCCUAAGGCCUGCGAGUCGACGGGAAGAAGCACCGGCGAGAGACGGUCGGCGGAGAGGGCUCACGCACCGGCGCGUGUGACGGCGGGCUGACGGCGCGUGAAGGCACGUGUAUCGGAGUCUUUUGCCGGCGGUCAGUGGAGAGGCCGAUCCUGGGCUGGGUAAUCCACUAGACUAGGCUGUGACAGCCACAGACUUUCAGAAAGUGACCGAAAAAAGAUGAAAAGUUCCUCCCUAUGAGGACUUUGUUUCAGAUUUCAAAUCAGACCCACUGAGGGCUCUGAUACCAUGUUAGAAAAUAGAACAGAAGAAGAAUAUUGAGAAUGAUUGAAGAGCUUGAUUAUUCCCUCAAGCCAAUGGUGUCAAUUUAUAAUCUGUACAGGACAACUAAAUAGGAAAUACAAUCCUAAUUAAAUACGUAAUUAUAGCCACGAUUCUAGCACCUAAAUAUAUUCACACAAUCACUACAUAUACACAUAUCCUAGCUAUUUAUGGUACAUAUCUUAACACUCCCCCUCAAGCUGGAGCGUACAUAUUGUAUGCUCCUAGCUUGUUACAAAUAUAACCAAUCCUAGUCCCUCAGAGAGAUUAGGCAAGAAUGUCUACUAAUUGGUCAUUCAAACUGACAUAACUAGCAUGAUCCCCUCAAUAUAGGCAACGAAAAAAUGUGUUUCCCAAAAUGGAGACAAAUAAUAUGUGUAUGAUCCUCUCAAUAUAGGCAAUAAGUGAUAAAGAGAAAGGUUUUCCAACUUAUGUAAUGACGUAUGAGUGACCAUGCCCGUUCAUAAUUGUUUACUCCAUCGCUAAUUAAUUGUUCACUAUAAGACUACAUUCCCAUCUCCUCAUCAACUGUGAAGCCUCAGCAGUUUCACAUCAUGCAAAACCAAAAUAUACAUCUUCAAUAGGUGUGAUUUCUCAAAAAGAAAAAUAAACGUGUGAAAAUGUCUGAGUGGCAUUCUUUUCAUGAGAAGACAAGUACUGAAAACAGAAAAGACUAUUUUCUUGAUCAAUAGCCACAAUGAACACCACUCCCUCCCUCUUCUCCCCAACUAACACCCCCACACCACACAACACCACAAC
rnacentral:misc_RNA from 1 species